rnacentral:lncRNA from 1 species
CUAGGGGUCGCUUAAUAAUGAUGUGGAUUCAUUAAGGAGAAAUCAAAGUCACCCAUAGAGUUCCAGUGACAGAUGGGAGAGGACACCUUCAUACAGCAGUAAAUUUUUGGCCAUUCUCCUUCCUCCUGUGUUGCUGGGUGGGUCAGCACAAUGAGUGGUAGGAGUACUUCUGGAAGCCAUUCCUACAGCAGGGAUGCUAGCAAUUAUGAAACCAUUCCUAGAAGUGUCUGAAAACCACAACAUAUUCCAAUAAACCAAAAAUGAAGUAUUUCCAACUCAGUUGCCCCUUAGUUGGAUUCCAAACAUGCUUUGUGGUCACCCUUACAUUACCCAACACGAAGGGAAGUGUGAUGGAGCAGCAAUCACUGUGGAGACAGUCAUCUUAACUGAUGGUGAUUCUAACUUUUGAAAGUUUUAGAAAAACAUAUAUACAUGUGAACACAUUGGCAGGGACUCUCUCAGAGCUUGGGAAGGAGAUCCAUGCACAGAAGGGGCUUCCGGUUUAUACUAUGUUAGCUUAUGGUGAACAUGUCUCUAGGAAAUAGAGCCCACUUCUGGGGACUGGUUGGAUAUGAAUGAAGGAUGAGAGAAACAGGAAUCUAGGAAGUCUGGCAGAUUUUUCUAGCUUGUAUUCCAUGUUGAAUGAUAAUAUGGUAAACAACAACAACAAAAAAUAGAAUGACCACUUUUCAGGCUUGAUUGUCCUAUUUUUAGUAUUAAAAAUCUCACAUUCUGGGGAAACACCUCUUCAGGAAGCAAAAAUCUCAGUUUUUAGGUAAGGAAGGUUGCAGGGAAGUGCCAUACUGAAAAGGCAGCCCCAAAAAUAGUAACUGAAAGAAAGCCGUUUUUAGUGUCAAAUGAAUACCAGUAUAGAUUAUCUGUCUUUCAUAGUUGUUGCCGUUUUUACCUCUGAUCACUAAUGUUUGCAGCUAUGAUUGGCAGUUCUCCAAAAUGGUUCAUGCUUGGUUGGAUCACUCCAAGUGACACAAUUUGUGUGAAACCUUAGUGCACUGUAAUCACGAACAUUAACAAUCUGUCUUUGGCUUUGCCCGUGGAUUAACUUUUGUGCUUUGUAUUGAGAUACUGCUUGUGAAAAAAAACAAAGACAAUCCAAAUAAGAACAAACAGAGGCCAUUUAAUCAGAGCUUGAUAAAGCAAGGGAGUCAGCCACCAUCACUUGCAUUUGGUAGACUCAAAGGCAGACAAGGGAGCUUUGUAGUGGAUAAAAGGGGAGACUUCAGUUAUACCUUGAUAAGAGGUUAUUGGCACAAAGAAGCUGGAAGUAAAUUAACUAGCAGUUGGGCAUAGUAUAUAAUUGGUUUGGGAAGUAUAUUUGGCUCUCUCUGAUUGGUGCUGAGGUGGAAGUCAGGGCAAAAAUUAGGAAAGUUGGCAGUGAAUGACUAAGUCUUGACAAUUCUGGGCUGAUUCCUGCGGAGCUUUUGGAUUAAAAUUCUAUUGUCUUAUAUGGUCUGACCCUUUUCUAUUUGUACAUUGUCCCUCAAGACAGUUUAAUUUUAACAUUGUAAAUUUUAUGACCAUAUUUUCCAAGAACCUAGAUAAUGAAAAUAAAAGCAAUUACAAUACCAACACCAGUAUUACCCAUAUAUCCCCCUAAAAGAAGGCUUAAUAACUUUGUUACAUUAAUGGCAAAUGGAAAAACACAUACAGCUGCAUUAAGGAAAUAAAUAACCAAAACAAAUUAUUUUGCAGAUUAUGCAAAAAAUAAUUUGGGAUUGGGAAUGGUGGAGUAGGGGAUGGGGAAACAUAAGGUUAGCAUAAGACAGGUAAGUACUGCUAAAUCAUUCAAAAGUUUUUAUUUUUAUUUCCCCCAAAAUACCAAUGGUCAGUUGAAAACAGUGGCCACUGAAUUACCUUAGGCAUAUCCCAGUAAUGAACAUGCAUUAUCAUAUUAUUCCCUUGAUGGUUGUAUGAAACUGUGUUAAUUACUUGGCCUGAUUCAGAAGUUGCAUCUAAAAUGUCCUGUUGGGGAAAAAAUAGGGGAUUUUGAUAACAGAUGCAUUGGCCUCUUAUGGGGUAGAUCUGAUUCUGUCAGAUCUUAGCAAAGAUUAUGUUUUCUACAGUGGGUCAAGGGAGGUGCAUGGAAUCACAGUAGUAACAAAAUGUUUCUUUUAGUACAUAGACACUUUAAUUUGAAAAAUUAAGUUUCAAAUAGUGUUCUUAAUUUGUAUGAAUAUUUUAAUGAAACUUUGGAAAAGACUUGCUCCUAUAUCCACAUAUUCAGUAGACGAUGAAAAUAAAAAUGUUGGCAAAUUCCAUUCAGUCAGUAAACUCCUUAUCAAAGAAAGUAAAAAGAUCUUGCCAGCUAAAUGUCCUCGUUACCUUCUACAACAUGUAGAUUAAAAGGUGUGUGAUCUGCUUGCGUGCCAUAUUAGGGCUUUCAUAAUGAAAGUUUUUGGUCAUUUUUAGUGUCCUCAAAUAUGAAGAAGCACAUAAUUAUAUUUUUGAUUGUAUAGGUAUAGAAGGAAAUAGCUUCAUUAGGCAUGUGCCUAAAAGAUGGCUAUCAUUGUUGCUUGACAUGGAAAAGAUAUUAAAAUGGUGGCCUUCCAUAAAAUUAUAAUUUCCAACUGUGGAACAAGAAAAAAAUCCUUCUCUAAUUUGGAGACAUAUGAGAGUAAAAAUAGAUAAAAGGAUUACAGUAAAGCAGAAAUGUAUAUGCUGUUUCCUAAAAAUAUUUGAUAAUCUUUGACAAGACCAUAAGGCAACUAGAAAAAGAUGAACUGACUACACCUGAGUUUUGUAAGGUUACAUGUAGGUUGCAA